rnacentral:lncRNA from 1 species
AAUGUGAUUCACAAUGUGUACAACUUACCUUCAUAAUGAUUACUUAAAAUGAUAUCAUUUAGAAGUGGUUGGUUUUUGGAUGCUAGUUGGAUCGUGAGCGAGAAAAAGCCACGACCCGAUCGCCAUUUAAAAUUGAAACAUACGUGGGUGGCUUUGAUACGGUCUGGCUGUUGCAUCAUGGCAGACUUAUUGUUCUGUCCAAAGUUUUGUUUGCUAGCUGUUAUUCGACAAUUCUAGCCCGGCUUCUGUUUCCUACCUCUCAUUUUCCAUGUCACCCACUCACUUUAUCCACCGUUUUCUGUUUUCUCGUUGCGUUUCGACUACGAGCUGAGCUUUUCCAAUUGCUGCGAAUUUUGGUUUACUGUUUGGAUUAUUAGGAUUCGUUGCUGGAAGAAAAAGGCGCUCAGAUCAAAAACACAGAACAAAACCAUCUUGUUAGCACUUGUAGUGGAAAGCAAAGAAUUCCCGCGUGAAAUUCUGAUCAUUUAAAUGCUAUUUUGUGUUCUAUGAAUAAUCUGUGUUCUUUGGAAAUACAGAUACUCUUACAUGAUUAUAUUUUCCAAUCGAAAUGAUUAGACAGCGUUUCCAUCCGGCCAUUACAUCGCAUGUCGUCGAUUGAAGAAAGAAGGUGUGGCACCAACCAAAAAAUUUGAGAGUCGCCACAAAGAGGGAUUGAACCAAGACGUCUCGUUUGAACGGACGUCCUGGAGGCAUGUCCCUGUUUGCGUGCUCGCAUCAUCCGGAUCCGUGCCAUAACCCACAGCCACUUCAGAGAAAUCCAUUGGACGUUAUCCAUGUCGCUGAACAGCCAGUGGCAAACACUAGGGAUCAUCUUGCAACGCUACUAUAUGAAACAGGUUUUUAGUGGUUCAUUCCUGAAUAGUAUGUUUAGUACUACGGAAAAACUAAAAAAGGAUUGUAGGAGAGAUGACAGGACAGCGGUCGAUUGUAGAGGUUUCUUUUACUUCUGCUAUAGCAGUAUUAACAUUUUCUAAACUCACAAUUAGUGGGAACCUGCCGCCCGACAAUGAAUCGUCCAAGUCCAAACUGGUAAUUGUUUUCUGGAUUCGAUAGAGAAAACCUGUAAUCCCCUGGAUGUGGCUGGAAAGUUGUUGUCAUUCUGUGGUAUUGAUGGCAGGAGUGCAAAAACCAUAAACUAAUCGCCUAUUGUAAACAAAACGUCUGUCGAUGGAAAAUAGAAGAAACAAAAACA